UACGUAGGGUGCGAGCGUUAAUCGGAAUUACUGGGCGUAAAGCGUGCGCAGGCGGUUCGUUAAGUUCGAUGUGAAAGCCCCGGGCUCAACCUGGGAACUGCAUUGGAAACUGGCGAGCUUGAAUGCGGCAGAGGGGGGUGGAAUUCCGCGUGUAGCAGUGAAAUGCGUAGAGAUCCGGAGGAACCCCAGAGGCGAAGGCGGCGCCCUGGCUCGCAACUGACGCUCAGACACGACAGCAUGGGGAGCGAACGGG
rnacentral:rRNA from 1 species